rnacentral:lncRNA from 1 species
AACUUUUCUUGUCGUUCGACUUGUCUGAUGCCAACGUCGUUGGUAGGCGCUCGGUCGUCGAUGCGUUAGCCUGCCUUCCUCAUCGUACAUGGCUGCAAGCCCGAGCUUGGCGGUUCGGACUCCGCAUUACUUCGGAGACGUCGCUGUCUUCUCGACCUGUGUAGGGAGUCUUCUUAGAGGCUGGGAGUGUUUGGUAGGAACUCCCUGUCUUUGUUGGGAUGAAGUUCUUUAGGUCUCUGGGGUGGUCCGUCCUUCAUCUGUUUCC